rnacentral:ncRNA from 1 species
GAAGUAUUUGGUUAUGGUAUUAAAAUUUGUUUUAACGUUAACACACAUAAUAUUUUAUUGAGAUAAGAAAUAUUUGUUUCUACUUUAGUGUGAAAAAUUGGGCCAUCAGGGUAAUCUGGACUCAGUGAUUUAAAUGAAUAAGCGGCUAAUUUGGAUGCCAGCAGCUGCGGUUAUAUCUUUGCUUAUUCAAAUUUUCUAUGGUUUUGUUAGAAGCAAGUUUAUUAGUAGCUUUCUUUGAGCGUGUUUUGAGCAGUUAAAUGCUAUAGGUCGUAGAGUGAUGAAUUAAGGCUAUGAUGUUUCUUACUUAGGUAUGGUUAAAAACCGGGAUUUGGUACCCCGUUAUUCAUAAAGUAAAAUAAUUUUACCAGAUGACUAUAAGUUUGUUCUUUAAAGUUAAAUAACUAGGCGGUCUCUAGUAACUAACAGGGGAAUCUGGGGGUUAAAAGAUGUUCCACUAAAAUUUGUUCCUUAAUUUAAAUUUGCGUAUGUAUGGUUGUUUAUAAUCAAUAUGUGUAAAAUAUUGGUAAAAUUCUUAGAAGAAGGAAUUCAGAUUAUCAUGUAGCUAUAUUGAGGCUUUCCUGGGUUACAGUUGAAAAGACCCUUUAUCGAAAAAUUUUGUCAAAAUAAGGUUUAGAAGGCGGACUUGUUAGUAAAGUUUUCUUAUUUUGAAAGUUUGAAAAGGUCUAUAGAGGAGUACUAAUCGCCCGUCGCUCGCGGAGGAAUCUGAGAUAAGUCGUAACAAGGUAACAGUACCGGAAGGUGCUGUUAAAUCAGU